rnacentral:rRNA from 1 species
ACKGCUCAGUAACACGUGGACAACCUACCCUCAGAUCUGGGAUAAACCUGGGAAACUGGGUAUAAUACCGGAUAGGUCUUGGAUGCUGGAAUGCACCGAGGCCCAAAGCUCCGGCGUCUGAGGAUGGGUCUGCGGCCUAUCAGGGUAGUAGUGGGUGUAAAGUACCUACUAGCCUACGACGGGUACGGGUCGUGAGAGCGAGAGCCCGGAGAUGGAUUCUGAGACACGAAUCCAGGCCCUACGGGGUGCAGCAGGCGCGAAAACUUUACAAUGCCGGCAACGGCGAUAAGGGGACCUCGAGUGCCAGGAUACAAUCCUGGCUGUCGUAAUGCCUAAAAAGCAUUAUAUAGCAAGGGCCGGGCAAGACCGGUGCCAGCCGCCGCGGUAACACCGGCGGCUCGAGUGGUAACCGCUAUUAUUGGGUCUAAAGGGUCUGUAGCCGGCCUGGUAAGUCUUUUGGGAAAUCCGGCAGCUCAACUGUCGGGCUAUCAGAGGAUACUGCUAGGCUCGAGACCGGGAGAGGUGAGAGGUACUUCAUGGGUAGGGGUGAAAUCUUGUAAUCCUUGAAGGACCACCAGUAGCGAAGGCGUCUCACCAGAACGGAUCUGACGGCAAGGGACGAAAGCUAGGGGCACGAACCGGAUUAGAUACCCGGGUAGUCCUAGCCGUAAACGAUACUCGCUAGGUGUCGGCCACGGUGCGACCGUGGUCGGUGCCGUAGGGAAGCCGUGAAGCGAGCCACCUGGGAAGUACGGCCGCAAGGCUGAAACUUAAAGGAAUUGGCGGGGGAGCAC